GAGAGGAAGAGGCAGUUCAGAGCAGAAACCCUCGGCCGAAACCACUGUGGAGAGAAGAGAGCUGGAGAGCGAGAUAGAGAGUGUAUGAUUUGUCUUGUGGAGGGAGACACUGACUGACUCAAUCAUCAAAUCAGGAUGUUUGUUCUCAUCUGGGCGACUCUGCUCUUCUCUGUCAGAGACACAGGUGCAUCAGUGGGGGGAACACCAUUCUGUGAUAAUAGAUUCUGUAUCACUCUUAGUGGAGAAAUAACAGCAGAGGCUGGACUCUGUGUUGUGAUACCGUGUUCUUUCACCACCAGUUAUUACUUUACACCCCAAAAUAUAGUUUGGUACAAAUGUGAACCAUCCAAACAAAAAUGUAGUGAUCCAGACAUCAUAUUCCACACUAACAAGAACAACAACAAAACUCAGUCUGGGUUCAAAGGACGAGUGUCACUGUUGGAGCCUGAUGUGAGUCGGAGGAACUGCAGCAUCAUCGUCAAUGACCUCACUGAGUCAGACUCUGGAUCAUAUCAGCUCAGAGUUAAUGGUUACCUGAAUGGGAGGAAAGAUGGAUUUACAUUCUCUCCAAGAACAACUGUC